AUUGAACGCUGGCGGCAGGCCUAACACAUGCAAGUCGAAUGGUAACAGGAAACAGCUUGCUGUUUCGCUGACGAGUGGCGGACGGGUGAGUAAUGUCUGGGAAACUGCCUGAUGGAGGGGGAUAACUACUGGAAACGGUAGCUAAUACCGCAUAACGUCGCAAGACCAAAGAGGGGGACCUUCGGGCCUCUUGCCAUCAGAUGUGCCCAGAUGGGAUUAGCUAGUAGGUGGGGUAACGGCUCACCUAGGCGACGAUCCCUAGCUGGUCUGAGAGGAUGACCAGCCACACUGGAACUGAGACACGGUCCAGACUCCUACGGGAGGCAGCAGUGGGGAGUAUUGCACAAUGGGCGCAAGCCUGAUGCAGCCAUGCCGCGUGUAUGAAGAAGGCCUUCGGGUUGUAAAGUACUUUCAGCGGGGAGGAAGGGAGUAAAGUUAAUACCUUUGCUCAUUGACGUUACCCGCAGAAGAAGCACCGGCUAACUCCGUG
rnacentral:rRNA from 1 species